UACAGAGACUGCAAGCGUUAUUCGGAUUCACUGGGCGUAAAGGGUGCGCAGGCGGUUGGGUGUGUCAGAUGUGAAAUCCCGAGGCUCAACCUCGGACUGCGUCUGAAACUACUCGACUAGAGUACUGGAGAGGGUAACGGAAUUCACGGUGUAGCAGUGAAAUGCGUAGAUAUCGUGAGGAACACCAGAGGCGAAGGCGGUUACCUGGACAGUUACUGACGCUCAGGCACGAAAGCAUGGGGAGCAAAAGGG
rnacentral:rRNA from 1 species